rnacentral:rRNA from 1 species
CGCGCAGGCGGUUUUAUAAGUCCGGUGUGAAAGCCCACGGCUCAACCGUGGAGGGUCACUGGAAACUGUAAGACUUGAGUAUAGGAGAGGAAAGUGGAAUUCCAUGUGUAGCGGUGAAAUGCGUAGAUAUAUGGAGGAACACCAGUGGCGAAGGCGACUUUCUGGCCUAUAACUGACGCUGAGGCGCGAAAGCGUGGGGAGCAAACA